UUUUUUAAAGAAGCAUCUUCCCGUCGGCUUCUCCUCCCUUUCGGUUCUUUUUUCUUUUCCUUUUUUUUUCUUUUUUUCUUUUUUUGAGUCUGCACAGGAAAGCCAAGCUCUGCUUCCAGGCAGAGGAGGUUUGGGAACGCGACUCUAUCAGGUACCACACUAGUGGCUGUCUGUGAAGAUGGAGGGGGAUUAUGCUUCGGAUUCCUCUGAAAUAUUGGCCAACGGCUUCAAAGGAUCCGCAGCGGGAGGCGAGGGUGGGGGAGCAUCUCCCCAGCUCGCACCCACCCCUUCCCACUUUGCGUCUACCAAAUGACAGGCUGGUGCUCGCUCUGGGUGAUUUUGGCCUUGGCCUCAGCCAAGCAGCUGAUGCAGAGGAGGGCCCGCUUUGCAAGACUGGCGGAACUCUGCAUGCUAGAGAAAGAAGAAGGAAAAGGGGAAAAAAAAAAUUCCAAGCAGUCCUUGGGAAAUUUUCUCGUUCUCCCUCGAUUUAUUUAUUUUUAAUUUUUUUAACCGACUGUUUUCCAAAUUUGAUCAGCCCCAGCCCCUCCCUCCACUCCCACCCAACUGCUUCUCUCCCCCACCCCCACCCCCGGUCAAAGCAUAAACCACAGAGUUACGGUCUUCUCUGGAUUUUGGAGUAUCGCUUCCUGCCCCCGCCUUCCCUCCCCGCCCCAUUCUCUGUCCUAUUGAACACCUCGCCCAGCCUAGCGCACUGCAAGCUCACAUUCUCCCCCCGGCUCCGGAUGGCGCUCCUGGAAGCUCUGCAGCCGGCUCCACUUCAAAUGGGCUCCAAACCAUCACAGUGGAGAGCUAACAGCUUUUAGAAGCCCCACUGAUAACAAGAGGAACCAGCUGAAUCCCUUUUGCAAUGUUUACCCCAGAGAAAAAUAUAGAAAAUGCUUAAUUUUCAAAUCUCUAAUUCUUUUUUUGUUUUGUUUUGUUUUAAGGAAGCAUGCUAGAGAAGAGUAUUCAUUUUAAAAUCUGGCACCUGGAACCAAUUUUCUGGGCAAAACACCUUUAUACAAAAAGUUUACAGUUUUCCAUUGAAUACGGGUAACGUAAGAAUGUAACAAAGGCUUUGGUGAUUUUGGUAGUUUUUUUCCCCCCUCUUCUUUUCUGGGGGAGAAAAACAGAUGAUUUAGAAAGUGUUAGGAACAUAUCAAGCCCCAGGGAAAGAAAACGUUUGAUUGGUAUUAAUUAAAACACUGCUAAUAUAUUCUAAUAAAAUCAGAUUUAACAUUCUAAACUAAUCCGCCUAGCAUGUCAAAGGCAAAGAAAAGUAUUAUCUGUCUUAUUUGCAUCUGGGCAACUCGCAUGCAUUUGCUCAUUCGGCAGAAUUAAUUUCUUCCCCCAGUCUAUUAAAUCUCCUCACAGAUUUAGACAAACUUACCCUUUCAAACUAGACGGGAGAGGGGUGGGGAAACCAUGGAAGGUAUUUGGAAGACCAGUGACUGUAGUUAGGGCCCGUUUUUUGGCUGCACAUAGUCUUUUCUCCUCGUUUGAUAUAAUGGGGUGUGGAAAGCAGCAGGGAUUGCAGAAUGAUAAAUGGCUCAGGGAAUUUUUUUUCUUUCCUUUUACCUGCUGGAUUAUUUAAAACAUUCAGUUGCCAAAUUAUCCAAAUUUUAUUUUGCACUGUCAGCCUGUUUAUCAACAUCUAAUUUUUGUUCUUUGAAUUUCAGAAACCAUGUUAUCACAGAUUCCUAAUGGAAAAUAAAUAAAUAAAUAAAUAAAUAAAUAAAUAUCCUUAUGCCAGAAACCCAUCAUCUUUUCUUGGCUAUUUUUUUGAGAAAAGGAGUGUAAAAUUUUAUUCACCAAGAGCUGAGUUCUUUGUUCUCUUUUUAAGUCAGCUAUUUCUCUGAAAGAAUUCCAUAUUUUUAUGGAGCAUGGCAUUUCAGCUCUUUAUUGCUAAGCUCUCUCAACUGAUAAUAUUGUCCUCAGAUGGUAUGAGAGCCAAAAUGUUUCUCCAGCCAUCAGUCUCCUGCAACUGUGAUAGUCCAUGCAAAUAUGAGCCUAACACAAAAAGAUGAACGGGCCGGAAAGGCUGAGGACCAUAUGGGUGGGUUGCCACAAGGAGGGAGUCUUCAGGCUGUGGAGAGGUGGGCUGACUGCGGCCUGCACCAGGGAGGUGGCUGCCGACUUCUUCAUCCAUUGCCUUUUCAAGUCUUCAAGGUAAAAGAGCAAUCGCAGUUUGGUUUCACUUGUAUUGUUCUAUAAUCCAGGCAAUAAAUGCUAAUUAGUAAUGCUCAAGGAUCCGACCAUUCAGAGUAAUUAUCAUAAUUUACUUCUUCCUCGUUAAAGACAUUCCUUGCUGAUUUAAAAAAAAAAAAAAAAGAGUCGUCCCUUAUCCAUGGCACUGCAGUGAGUAUUCAUUAGGGGAGAUGCUCAAGGUAUACUCAGAGCCUCGUGGCUGCAUUGGAAAUCACUGACAUGCGCCGUGGCUUAUUCGGAAUGGAGCUGCCUCUUGAUUUCGAGGAUGGAAUUUAUAUAAGUGCAUCCGGUUCUGCACGUGCACCAGGAAUGUAUGAUUUUAUUUUACACACCCCAAAGCUCCUCCUUCAGGGCCCACCCCUUUUUCUAAAACCAUUUCUGAGCAGAACAAAGGACAGCAGUAACUACAGAGGCAUCCUUAAACGUGAGCAGCCACUGCACUGUGGAGCGUGCUAUGACAACAUAUUUCGUGGCACAAAGGUGCAGGUAAUUAAAUAAUUCAGCAGCAACCCCAGCUAAUUAGCAGAAUGGUCCGUAAAGCAGAAUCAAGGAAAAGAAUCCAAUCAACUUGAAGAAUACACUUCCUUCUCCGAGAUCUCAAAACCCAGUUUAGUUGUUUUGGAGAUUGAUUCAUGGUAGGGUUGUGAGGACAAAAGCCAGUUCCUCAAAGCAGAGCCUGGAUCUUCUUCAGACACACGAACUGGAUAUCUAUCUGCCUUAGAUGAUCUGAAUUGAGUGUAAGGCUUUCUGUUUGCAGUCAAAGGGAUAGCACGCCACUCAGAUGCACGUCUCUUUGAUCUCUAUAUCUAGUAGAUGGCUACCCCGUAGCUUGUCAGCUGGCUUCCUCCACAUGUAUGUAGCCUCCCCCACAGUUUCUAAUGACGCAUGCUGAAGUUCCUUCUUGCUUGAAGCACGUACAGCUAGAGUAACUGUUCUCCAGGAUAAUACUCCCCCUCCCCAUUUCCUUUGUCAAGGUGUUAUUCUCAGUGUUCAUUGUUCACCGGUCCUUUCGGCAGGAGCUCCAGUUUUAACUGGAGGGCUAUAAGCACAUUAGAAGAAUAAUUCCCCUUGGAUACUACACAGAAGGAGCCACCUGCAAAAUGUUGAUGCUGUUAUUGAAGUCUCAAGUGGAAUCAGCUUUCAAAAAAUUAGAUAUUAGAUACAUCCGAUAUAAUUUGCAAUCUGUAAUUAUACUAAUGUGCGUAUAGCUGCACGUUGCUUUACGUGUAGCCUACUUGAGGUUGUCGCCCACCCCCACCCUUGGGCCUGUCUCGUCUCUUGAAAUUGCUCCUGAGUAGAAUGCUUUUUAAGCCAGCUUUUUUUUUUAAUUCCUUGUUAAUAAUAUAAGAAUAAAAGGACUGUGCAGCCUCUGUGUUUGUGUGAGAAGGAAAGCGAAAAAUCCUAGCUGUGGUGAAAGGAUGAUCCCUCUAAGGGCUGUCGCUGGAGACACUUGAAUUCUCUGCAAAACAUUUGCAGUUCUUCAUGGAUCAUUUGUUCUCAACAUCUAGGUUUUGGCUUUCCUUCUCACACAAACACACAGGCUGCAAAGUCCUUUUAUUCUUAUAUUAAUUAACAAGGAAUUAAAAAAAUAAGCUGGCUUAAAAAAAAGCAUUCUACUCAGGAGCAAUUUCAAGGGAUGAGACAUCACUUACCCUGACUUUGGAUAACGUGGAAGCACAGAGAACAUCAGAGUAGUAAAUAUUACUCAUAUUCCCUUUGUUGGAAUUAAAGAAAUGGCACUAGGCGGGGAUGAUGGUUUUCAACUUAAUCAAAGUAAUCAAACCAUUGAGAAUAAUAAACAAUUGCUUUUCUGUUUUCCCCUCCAUUCUGCAUGUCACAUGAUGAGUAACUGAGCCGCUUUUGCACUAACCUCAGGUCCCUUUGGGGGCCUCAACGUGAUUCCAGAGAUCUACUGUUGGCUCCACUGAGGAGUCCCCUGCAGCAAGCUGCCCCCUGAAGAUCUACUUCUUAAGAAAAAGAACCCAGGCAAAAGCACAGUGACUUGGCUGGUCAGCCUGACUCCGGACUGGAUGCAGUAGGUGAUGAGACCGUCAAGACAAAUUUGGAGAAUUAUUGCCGAGCAAGGCAAGGUGAGGGUCUCACUCUCUGCUUCUGCAUUCAAAUCGCAGAAGGAUCCCAAGAGACCCUUACGUUGAGUAGAAGACCACUCCUUAGUACAAUUUGGUAGGUAUAGAACCAAAAGAAGAAGUUGAUCUGUGAAGUUUUUAACUCAGGACAAACAUGCGAAAUCUGCCCGUCCUCAUGCUGCCUGCUGCAUAGGCCUUCCUCAAACUCCCUUUUGAUAGUGUUUAUUGUAUGUAAGAGCCAUUUUUGCAUGGAUUGGAUCUAUGUGACUCCAAGAGAUAUAUGCUUUAUUUAAUCUUCUCACAUAGUCUUGGACAUUCCAUUGUUCACUCUCUAUAUGAAUCAUAAAAGUAUUAAAUGCAAUGUCCUUCCUUAAUACAAUACCAUGAUAAUUUGCUUAAAAUGAAUUAUUACAUGGAUGCCAAACACUUAGCACCCCAUCCUCAAUAUCAUUGUUUAUAAAAUAUAUUGCCCAUCCACAAUAUUUAGAACUAAGUCGUCUCCCAGUUAGAUCUCCCCUCUGGAGAGCCAGCAUCUUCAGUGUACUCGGUAUUUAGUGCAGUGAUGAGUCCCAGUACUUCCCAUUCAGUGUGCCUAGCUCAUUGAUGCAUUGCCAUUGUCUGGGAUAAUGGAGAAGUGGAUGUCAAAGGCUUUAGUUAAAUUAAAGCCACCUGCACAGUCGGUCUCAUUCACCAAAGCUCCUGCCGAGUAAGACCCUCUUCUCAGACAUCCCUAUCUGUGAAGUGAGCGGGUCAGACCAGGAAGGUUCUCAGUUCUUACAGCUCUCAGGAAUUAUUGAAGCUGUUCUCCAGCCCGACGGGGGGAGGGGGGAGAGGGCAAUAGGAGCAAGGCCAGAGCCAGGAACCCAGAGUCUGUUGGCAUCAUCAGUUGCCCUUUAAAGUUACACCUGACUCCACCCCAGGCUCAGUAUUUACUACUAAUCUGGCUUGCCCCAUUGAGAAAACGCUAAAGAUGGGAGUUCAUUUUCAGAAAGGAAUGGUGAGGGAAAAAGUAACAGCCUAGGGGUCAAAUUAAAGAAAAUGAAAAUAAAAAUAAAGCUACCCAGUGGGAGAAGUGAAUCUCUUCAUGCCUGUUAGAAACCUACAUCCUUCAACAUUGACUUGGAAGAUACCCAGACAGACUCCUGUCUUUCAGUUUUAGGCCACAUCCUAUCCCCCAACCCUUCCGCUUGCCUGUCAUUCCUUGUAGUGUGGCUUGUUUCCUCCAUGGGAUUAUUGCCUUUUAAGUUUUGUGUUUCUUGUUCCUCUUGGUUCAUUUGGAUUGUAGUAACAUUCUUUUCAUGGGCCUACAAUGGUCACUUGGCCACAACACACUUUCCAAACUGACAAGUUCAAAGCCAGCUGGAAAUGGCCCUGCCUCUUUUUCUGUAAGAGCCCUUUUUAAGCCAGCCUUGAUUCCCCAGUCUCAAUAUUUUUAGUGUGCUUAUAUCUGACUACUUUUCUUCCUGUGGGCUGCAGUAUUCCAGGAGCUACUGCCUCUUCCAUUACUUUCUCCCUCCUUCUUUUUCUCCUAUUUUCUCCCUCCUUCCCUCUGUUUCCUCUCCCUCCUUCCAUUCACACAUCUUUCCUUUUCUUUUCCUUUCUCUUUCUUACUACUCUGCCCUCUUCCCCUUCUCUCCUUUCUUCCCCUUAUCCCUCUUUUUUCUUUAAGUACCAUGUGCCAACUUCUAUGCCAGGCACUAGAAAUACCAAGAUAAUUUCAAGGGGUCAGCAAUUAACUUCCAAUAAUUCCAGUGUCUUCCUUAACUCUGCGCUGUUAAACAGUUAGGCACCGACAACAACUUAGUUUAUCUUCAUUCCUAGGACUUAUUUGAAGGUGACCUGUGUCCUGUUGUCUUCUGCUCUCUGCCUCUCUGUCCUAUUUCAGUGAGGGUAGACUUGAAGCACUCUUCUCAGUAGGGUCUCUUGUCCACACUGGGACAAGGCCACUGCUUCACUGGUCCUUGAGCAAGGGGAACAAUGAAAGAAAGCCACUUUGGGUUGUUCAAGUGAUGUAGCCCUUCUGCCAUGGUUGGAUAUAGCAUCAACCCGAAGGGGUCACAAAUUCAUUUUCAUUAAACAGUCAAUGUGAUCACUGUCUGUGAUGUGUUCUGUUAUCUCUUUAGUUGUACUGAUGCUCCUUUCAGCCGGUCCUAUAGCUCCUUCCUCGGGAGUGUCUCCCAAGUGAAAGAACAGAGACUGCAGAGACUGCUAGUUUGAUGGAUGCUCAUGCCCGCUGUGAAGUUUUGAAACAAAGCAAGUGACCAGCUGAAGAUACCCCUCCUGCCCGGCAGCCCCCGGCAUGGUGCAGUUGCAGCCAAUAGUCAUCUCUGAACGAAACAGAAAGACCCAGACCAUUCACGAGUCAUAAAUUUGCCCUUCCUCGUGUGCAUUUGUCUGUCUGUGUUCAGAUUUAUAUGCCAUCUAGUUUUGAUCCGAGUAUGGAUAGGCGUGUUAGUCUGCUUGGGUAAAGGCAACUUUGCUCAGAUAUGUUAACGUAUGAAGAGACUGGAUCUUCUGGGGAGACUGGUUUUUAUCAACAUAUAGUAUCUGUUCUUGAGCGAGAUAUAGAAAAUUCAAAACAAUGUCUUCACAGGUGGCCCACAGAGACACUCAUGCCACCACACAGAAACACGACAUCAUGUCCCCAGACUGUGAGCGGCAAGCUUGACUCUGUGAGAUAUAGCAACUGCUUCCAAGGGUGGAAAUCAAACUGGACAAGGGUAUACGAGCUACCCAAAAUGUAGUGAUAAACUGAUUCAGUAGACAAUAAGAGCAGAAAUAAAACAAAAGAUGAUGUGCUCAGAAGAGGCCAAAUUGAUUUACCUAAGGGAGAAUGUUGCCCUAAAGAGAAAAUAUGAAAUGAACCUUAAAGAAGGUUAAAAAAAAUGUUGCAUAAAUAGGAAGGUCAGAGAAAAUAGAGUCCUUAAAGUGGACAUGAUAGUAUGCAAGGGCAUGGCAUAGGAAAUCCACAGGGUGAGUUUUGGAGAUGGCAAAUACUCAUGUCAACUUGACUCCCCCCAGUACUCAGCACCCCUUUCUGUGCGUCUUAUAAAGAUGGUGCACACAUGUAUCUUCCCUCUCCUACCCCAGAUGUCACCUAAACUAAGCUAGAACUAAAGUUCCAGUUCUCUGUCACAAGCAAAGGGGGAAGGCAGCUGGUGGCACCUGUGUAGAACUCAUGUAGAACAAACUACUUUUGUUCAUAACUGCUAGUUACCAAAUUUCUUCCAUUUAGGAAGCAUUUUGCAUAAGAGAUUUCAUGACAUCUAUGAAAAUCACACUUUAUACCCGCUUCUUAGGCGAUGACACAGAUUUUGAGGAGGUUAAGUGCCUGGACGAGGUGCUACAUGCAGCUAUGGACAUUCAAGGCUGUGGUCACAAAACUCACGAGCUGAAGUCUGAAGCCAGAAUUUGGUGAUCAGUGCCAAUACUGCUGUCACUGUUCCCACAGCCCUAAUGUCUAUCUGUGCAAACAAGUAGCUCUUCUGCUUACUCAUGGCCUCAAUGAUUUUGCAUGUGAAUUACACCAGAAUGAUAAAAAUGUGUUUUCACAACAGAAAAUUGAACAUUUAGUGGAGGACAGUCUGCCAGAAGUCUAGAUAGUUCCUUUGCAUUUUGGUCAGACAUCAUGAGACUUUUGACUUGGAUACCUGUUACAAGAUCUCUUUGACAGAAAACAUAAAUCUAUAGUCUGUAAGAAAAGUAACUUAGAGAAAAACUCCAACCAGCCCAAACAAAACAAAACAAACCACAUAUUUGUAAGCGGCCCAGCAAGGACCAGAAACUAGGCCUUCAGUUGUCUUUCAAUGGCUUUUAAACGAUUCCACCCUGCCCCAAAGAAACAAGCACUUCUAUUUGAUCAAAGGAGGUAUUCUGUCUAUGUGAUCAAGAAAUGUCUCAUAGACCAGAUCUAGUAGAUCUCUCUCGUCCCUUCCCCUCUUUGGCCACCUCAUGUCAAUAUGAAAUACAGCUAUGAACUAGUGUAUUUGGGUCAAGAAGUUGUCAACGAUCUGUCACCAAGGAGUCCCAAAUAGCUACAGUUGUAUGUAUACUGUUUCGUAUACAUGAAUCAUGUAUACAAAUCAUGAAGUCAUUGGUUCACCUGCACAGGUUCAAUUUCCCAUUGUACAUCUUCUCAGUCCACUUGGCCAAUGUUCAACUUUUGUAAAUGCUGUGAAUGCUGAUCCAUGACUGUUUCAGUGCUACUUAAGUGUUAAUAAUGACCACUAGUCAUUUUGUGUUGUAAUCCUCGUUUAUUCAUGUAACUAAUUCAAAAAUAUUUGGUACAUAAAAAGAUAGAACUAAAAAUCCCAUUCUUGCUUCCACUCUACAUUUGAUUGGCAUUUAGCAAUGAUUAAUAGAGUAGCUAUCUACAUAACAUAGAUGUCCAAAUUGUGAUUUUUUUUGUCUUAAAGGGGACAGUUAAGCUAGGUCUGCUAAGGCAUAGAGGUUUAACUGGAUAUUUAACUGAUGUAACUUUCUACUUAGCUGUUUGAUGUUGUCCUAAGUAGUCCCAUCAUGGUUUUCGCUGUCUUAUUUUUUCAAAGUGUUUGUUGGCUCUGUCUUACACUGUUCUCACUGAGUUCAUAAAUAAAACAGGUUUGUUGUUAACGAGUAGCCCAAGCACAAAGUGUGACUUUGUUGACAUUUUAUGAGACUUUCCUUGGUCCUUGACUCCCAAUAAAAGAAAUGUUGUAUUAA